ncrna:unclassified sequences RAGATH-19 RNA
UGUCCGCCAGAUGUUUCUGCCUUAAAGUAAGUGAAAGCAUACUGGCAAACCUACUUGAAAUGGGUGCAAAGAGAAAAUUAUGGUGGGCUUCGGACCACAAACGCCUUGAGAUGAUGAUAACAGAGCGUUAAUGGUAAUC